rnacentral:rRNA from 1 species
UACGUAGGCAGCGAGCGUUGUUCGGAAUUACUGGGCGUAAAGAGUGUGUAGGCGGUGCUCUAAGUUCGGUGUGAAAUCCCCCGGCUUAACUGGGAGGGUGCGCCGGAAACUGGAGUGCUCGAGCGUGGGAGAGGAAAGCAGAAUUCCUGGUGUAGCGGUGAAAUGCGUAGAUAUCAGGAGGAACACCUGCGGUGUAGACGGCUUUCUGGACCAUUGCUGACGCUGAGACACGAAAGCGUGGGUAGCAAACAGG